CUCUCUGCCUGUUAAAUAUAGAGAGUCGGACCUGCCCGGUGAAUAGUUUUUAACGGCCGCGGUAUUUUGACUGUGCGAAGGUAGCAUAAUCAUUUGCCCUAUGAUUGAGGGCUGGUAUGAAUGGUUUGACGUGAGCAAAGCUGUCUGUAUAUUGAUUUUUUAGAAUUUGAUUUGUAGGUGAAGAAGCCUAAAUUUUAUUAAAAGACAAGAAGACCCUAUUGAGCUUUAAAAAAAAGGUAAGUUAAACUUAUUUAUGAAUAAAUUUAUUUAUCUAUAAUUUUGGUUGGGGCGACUAAGGAACAGGUAAAACUUCCUUUAUGUAAUUAUAAUUUUGCGGAUGUUGAUCCAAGCAUUUUGAUUAGAGAAAUUAGUUACCAUAGGGAUAACAGCAUAAUUCCCUUUGAGAGUUCUUAUCGAAAAGGGAGUUUGUGACCUCGAUGUUGGACUAAAAUUUCCUAAAGAUGCAGCAGUCUUUAAGGGUUGGUCUGUUCGACCAUAAAAUU
rnacentral:rRNA from 1 species